rnacentral:rRNA from 1 species
GCGGAGGAAAAGAAACCAACAGGGAUUGCCCUAGUAACGGCGAGUGAAGCGGCAACAGCUCAAAUUUGAAAGCUGGCUCCGGCCCGCAUUGUAAUUUGCAGAGGAUGCUUUUGGCGAGGUGCCUUCCGAGUUCCCUGGAACGGGACGCCAUAGAGGGUGAGAGCCCCGUAUGGAUGGACACCAAACCUGUGUAAAGCUCCUUCAACGAGUCGAGUAGUUUGGGAAUGCUGCUCUAAAUGGGAGGUAAAUCUCUUCUAAAGCUAAAUACCGGCCAGAGACCGAUAGCGCACAAGUAGAGUGAUCGAAAGAUGAAAAGCACCUUGAAAAGGGGGUUAAACAGUACGUGAAAUUGUUGAAAGGGAAGCAUUUAUGACCAGACUUGCGCCGGGCAGCUCAUCAGGGGUUCUCCCCUGUGCACUCUGCCCGGCUCAGGCCAGCAUCGGUUCUCGUGGGAGGAUAAGAACAGUGGGAACGUGGCCCCCUCUCGGGGGGGUGUUAUAGCCCAUUGUACGAUACUCUCGUGGGGACCGAGGUUCGCGCUCCGCAAGGAUGCUGGCGUAAUGGUCAUCAAUGACCCGUCUU